rnacentral:rRNA from 1 species
UACGGGGGAGCAAGCGUUGUUCGGAUUUACUGGGCGUAAAGGGCGCGUAGGCGGCCAGCACAAGUCAGUUGUGAAAUCUCCGGGCUUAACUCGGAAAGGUCAACUGAUACUGUGCGGCUAGAGUGCAGAAGGGGCAACUGGAAUUCUCGGUGUAGCGGUGAAAUGCGUAGAUAUCGAGAGGAACACCUGCGGCGAAGGCGGGUUGCUGGGCUGACACUGACGCUGAUGCGCGAAAGCGUGGGGAGCAAACAGG